UUCUUUGGGCUUUUGUAAAUAAUUCAGAUAUUCUUUCAGCAUCUCGGGAUUCUGCAUAAUUUGCUUUAUCAAAAAGUUACUGGCUGUUUCUUCGGAUGCCAUUUCCGUCACUUUUUCUUUGUCUCUUUUUGGAGUGACUGGUGUAGUGGUUGGAAUGAUUGUUGACUGUCUUGACUCCUUUUGAGUAGUGGUAGUAGCUGUCCACUUUAAUUUGUCUCCAGUGGUCAGGAAUCUGAUUACAUUAG
rnacentral:lncRNA from 1 species